rnacentral:rRNA from 1 species
AACGAACGCUGGCGGCGUGCCUAACACAUGCAAGUCGAACGCGAAAGGGGGCAACCCCCGGUAGCGUGGCAGACGGGUGAGUAACACGUGGGUAACCUACCCCGAGGUGGGGAAUAACCUUCCGAAAGGAGGGCUAAUACCGCAUGACAUCCCGAGGGUCUCGGCCUUCGGGGUCAAAGCUGGCCUCUGUUUACAAGCUAGCGCCACGGGAGGGACCCGCGCCCCAUUAGCUAGUUGGUGAGGUUACGGCUCACCAAGGCGACGAUGGGUAGCCGGCCUGAGAGGGUGAUCGGCCACACUGGAACUGAGACACGGUCCAGACUCCUACGGGAGGCAGCAGUGAGGAAUAUUGUGCAAUGGGCGAAAGCCUGACGCAGCGACGCCGCGUGGAGGAUGAAGGUCUUCGGAUUGUAAACUCCUGUCGAGCGGGACGAAGGCGGUGAGCGUUAACAGCGCUCGCCGUUGACGGUACCGCUGGAGGAAGCCCCGGCUAACUCCGUGCCAGCAGCCGCCGUAA